GGAUGAACGCUGGCGGCGUGCCUAAUACAUGCAAGUCGAGCGAACAGACGAGGAGCUUGCUCCUUCGACGUUAGCGGCGGACGGGUGAGUAACACGUAGGUAACCUACCUAUAAGACUGGGAUAACUUCGGGAAACCGGAGCUAAUACCGGAUAAUAUUUCGAACCGCAUGGUUCGAUAGUGAAAGAUGGCUUUGCUAUCACUUAUAGAUGGACCUGCGCCGUAUUAGCUAGUUGGUAAGGUAACGGCUUACCAAGGCAACGAUACGUAGCCGACCUGAGAGGGUGAUCGGCCACACUGGAACUGAGACACGGUCCAGACUCCUACGGGAGGCAGCAGUAGGGAAUCUUCCGCAAUGGGCGAAAGCCUGACGGAGCAACGCCGCGUGAGUGAUGAAGGUCCUCGGAUCGUAAAACUCUGUUAUUAGGGAAGAACAAACGUGUAAGUAACUGUGCACGUCUUGACGGUACCUAAUCAGAAAGCCACGGCUAACUACGUG
rnacentral:rRNA from 1 species